AUUAGGUCCAUAGUUACAUCAAUGACAUUUCAUCAAAGUGUCUUAGGUUUACAUCAAGAAAAGCUCAGGAUACAGUCUAUUUGAGUGAUAAUAGUGUAUCACGUCCACAUUUGCAUCAUAAUCCAUUUUUGUUAGGUUACAACAGUGGGUGUAUUUCUAAGAUACUACUGUAUCAGGUCCAUAUUUACAUCAAGAAAAGCUCAGGAUACAGUGUUUUUGAAAGAUACUAGUGUAUCAAGUCCAUAUUUACAUCAAAGACAACUCAGUAUAUGGUCUAUUUGAGUGAUACUGGUUAUCAGGUCCACAUUUACACCAAGGAAAACUAAGGAUACAGUAAGUUUGAAAGAUACUGGUGUAUCAAGCCCAUAUUUACAUACCGGUAAUCAUCUUUCUUUUCAGGUUACACCAACAUUGUGUUUAUUUCUAAUGUACUGGUGUAUUAGGUCCAUAUUCACAUCAAUGAAAACUCAGGAUACAGUCUAAUUGAGUGAUACUAGUGUAUCACGUCCACAUUUACAUCAUAAUCCAUAUAUUUUAGGUUACAACAUUGGGUUUAUUUCUA